rnacentral:rRNA from 1 species
UACGUAGGGGGCAAGCGUUGUCCGGAUUUAUUGGGCGUAAAGAGCUCGUAGGCGGCUCGUUGCGUCGGCUGUGAAAACCCGCAGCUCAACUGUGGGCUUGCAGCCGAUACGGGCGGGCUUGAGUUCGGUAGGGGAGACUGGAAUUCCUGGUGUAGCGGUGAAAUGCGCAGAUAUCAAGAGGAACACCGGUGGCGAAGGCGGGUCUCUGGGCCGAAACUGACGCUGAGGAGCGAAAGCGUGGGGAGCGAACAGG